UGAUCCUGGCUCAUAAUGAACGCUGGCGGCGUGCUUAACACAUGCAAGUCGUACGAGAACACUCUAGCUUGCUAGGGUAAGUAAAGUGGCGCACGGGUGAGUAACGCGUGGGUAAUCUACCUUCGAAUUGGGGAUAACGUUGCGAAAGCGACGCUAAUACCGAAUAAUAUCCAUUAAUCUUCGGGUUUUUGGAUCAAGGGUGGCCUCUACAUGUAAGCUACUGUUUGAAGAUGAGCCCGCGUACCAUUAGCUUGUUGGUGGGGUAAUGGCCUACCAAGGCUUCGAUGGUUAGCUGGUCUGAGAGGAUGAUCAGCCACACUGGAACUGACACACGGUCCAGACUCCUACGGGAGGCAGCAGUGAGGAAUUUUGCGCAAUGGGCGAAAGCCUGACGCAGCAACGCCGCGUGAGUGAUGAAGGCUUUCGGGUCGUAAAGCUCUGUCAAGUGGGAAGAACCUGCAGUAUGUUAAUACCAUAUUGCACUGACGGUACCACUGAAGGAAGCACCGGCUAACUCCGUGCCAGCAGCCGCGGUAAUACGGGGGGUGCAAGCGUUAUUCGGAAUCAUUGGGCGUAAAGGGCACGUAGGCGGCUCGGUAAGUCAGAUGUGAAAGCCCGGGGCUUAACCCCGGAAGUGCAUUUGAUACUGCCAAGCUUGAGUAUGGGAGAGGGAAGUGGAAUUCCUGGUGUAGAGGUGAAAUUCGUAGAUAUCAGGAGGAACACCGGUGGCGAAGGCGGCUUCCUGGACCAAUACUGACGCUGAGGUGCGAAGGCGUGGGGUAGCAAACAGGAUUAGAUACCCCUGGUAGUCCAACGCAGUAAACGUUGUUCACUAGGUGUAGCGGGUAUUGACCCCUGCUGUGCCCCAGUUUAAGCAUUAAGUGAACCGCCUGGGG
rnacentral:rRNA from 1 species